GGAAUAUUGGUCAAUGGCCGGAAGGCUGAACCAGCCAAGUCGCGUGAGGGAAUAAGGCCCUACGGGUCGUAAACCUCUUUUGCCAGGGGACAAUGCCGUCCACGUGUGGACGGAAGGAGAGUACCUGGAGAAAAAGCAUCGGCUAACGCCGUGCCAGCAGCCGCGGUAAUACGGAGGAUGCGAGCGUUAUCCGGAUGUAUUGGGUUUAAAGGGUGCGUAGGCGGCCUGCCAAGUCAGCGGUAAAAUUGCGGGGCUCAACCCCGUACAGCCGUUGAAACUGCCGGGCUGGAGUGGGCGAGAAGUAUGCGGAAUGCGUGGUGUAGCGGUGAAAUGCAUAGAUAUCACGAAGAACUCCGAUUGCGAAGGCAGCGUACCGGCGCCCAACUGACGCUGAGGCACGAAGGCGUGGGUAUCGAA
rnacentral:rRNA from 1 species